rnacentral:rRNA from 1 species
UACGUAGGGUGCGAGCGUUAUCCGGAAUUACUGGGUUUAAAGGGUGCGUAGGCGGUUAUGUAAGUCAGCAAGGGAAAUUCCACAGCUUAACUGGAGGGACUGCUUUUGAUACUGCAUGACUUGAACCAAGAUGAGGUAGGCGGAAUGUGGCAUGUAGCGGUGAAAUGCAUAGAUAUGCCAUAGAACACCGAUUGCGAAGGCAGCUUACUAGACUUGUGUUGACGCUGAGGCACGAAAGCGUGGGGAGCGAACAGG